UGGGGAAUCUUGCGCAAUGGGCGAAAGCCUGACGCAGCAACGCCGCGUGUGUGAUGAAGGUCUUCGGAUCGUAAAGCACUGUCGCGAGGUCGCCUUAUUCUGCACGCCAAGGCUCAAGACACGAUUUUGAGUCUUGCCGCGAGCGCCGGCAGCGUGGCGGAUCUAGAGCUCGAGGACGUAAUGAAGGUUGGCUACCAGGACAUUCGCUGCGUUGAGUCCGGUGGCCCUGAGCCAGGUGUCGGCUGCGCCGGCCGCAGUGUCAUCACCUCGAUCAAUUUUCUUGAAGAGAACGGAGCCUACGAGAACAUUGACUAUGUUUCUUACGAUGUGCUUGGCGACGUUGUUUGCGGUGGCUUUGCGAUGCCAAUCCGCGAAAACAAGGCGCAGGAGAUCUACAUCGUGAUGUCUGGUGAA
rnacentral:rRNA from 1 species